AGUGGACGAAUCAAGCUGUAUAAGCAGUCAGGGUGUGACCGAGGUGGUCGGCGGAAGUCACGGAGACAUAUAGAAGAAUUGAGGCAUGUGGAGAUAUACGGAAGCCGUAAAAUGUUUAAUUGAAAAUAAGACUUAGCUUGAUUCGUGGUCGAGUCGGAGAGUCAGCAUCAUCCCCGAGCGGGUAGCUAUCGGUGAACAGUUGUUGACGAAGCCAAUGUUGAGUCAAAGUGGUCGGUGGUGC
rnacentral:lncRNA from 1 species